AUACGGAGGGUGCAAGCGUUAAUCGGAAUUACUGGGCGUAAAGGGUUCGUAGGCGGUUAUUUAAGUCAGAUGUGAAAGCCCCGGGCUCAACCUGGGAAUUGCAUCUGAUACUGGGUAACUAGAGUUUAAGAGAGGAGUGUGGAAUUUCCGGUGUAGCGGUGAAAAGCAUAGAGAUCGGAAGGAACAUCAGUGGCGAAGGCGGCACUCUGGCUUAAAACUGACGCUGAGGAACGAAAGCGUGGGUAGCAAACAGGAUUAGAAACCCCAGUAGUCC
rnacentral:rRNA from 1 species